UUGAGCACAGUGCUCGCUUCUACUAAAAUUGAAAUGAUACACAGAAGAUCAGUAUAGCCCCUAUGCAAGGAUGACAUGCAAAUUCGUGAAGUGUUCCAGAAGAGG